AUUGAACGCUGGCGGCAGGCUUAACACAUGCAAGUCGAGCGGUAGCACAGGGGAGCUUGCUCCCUGGGUGACGAGCGGCGGACGGGUGAGUAAUGUCUGGGAAACUGCCUGAUGGAGGGGGAUAACUACUGGAAACGGUAGCUAAUACCGCAUAACGUCGCAAGACCAAAGAGGGGGACCUUCGGGCCUCUUGCCAUCAGAUGUGCCCAGAUGGGAUUAGCUAGUAGGUGGGGUAAUGGCUCACCUAGGCGACGAUCCCUAGCUGGUCUGAGAGGAUGACCAGCCACACUGGAACUGAGACACGGUCCAGACUCCUACGGGAGGCAGCAGUGGGGAAUAUUGCACAAUGGGCGCAAGCCUGAUGCAGCCAUGCCGCGUGUGUGAAGAAGGCCUUCGGGUUGUAAAGCACUUUCAGCGAGGAGGAAGGUGGUGAGCUUAAUACGUUCAUCAAUUGACGUUACUCGCAGAAGAAGCACCGGCUAACUCCGCG
rnacentral:rRNA from 1 species